AUGGGUAAAGUCAUUGACAGCACAGUUAGUUUUUAUGUGACAUGUCAUAGUAGUGAUACUGCUAUAGAAAGAAUGACCUGGUUGCACGCUUUUGGAAUGACUAUUGAAGUAAUGCCCACUUUACAAAGAGAGAUUGCAAGGAAGUUUUUGCCUCAAGAAAUCUCCCAGAUCCGUGCAGUUGGCAGGCUAAAAAGAGAGCGUUCUAUGAGUGAAAAUGCUGUUCGCCAAAAUGGACAGCUGGUCAGAAAUGAUUCUAUGUGGCACAGAUCAGAUUCUGCCCCAAGAAAUAAAAUUUCAAGGUUCCAGGCACUGAUUUCUGCACCGGAGUACACACUUGUGUUGCGUGGUGGGUCUGCCGCCGCCACUUCUAACCCUCAUCAUGACAACGUCAUGUAUGGCAUUUCAAACAUAUAUGCAACAAUUGAAGGAACAUCAGAUGACAUGACUGUUGUAGAUGCAGCUUCAUUAAGACGACAGAUAAUCAAACUAAAUAGACGUCUACAACUUCUAGAAGAGGAGAACAAAGAACGUGCUAAAAGAGAAAUGGUCAUGUAUUCAAUUACUGUACCAUUCUGGCUGCUUAAUAGCUGGCUCUGGUUUCGCCGCUAGAGGUAACAUCAGCUCUCAAACAUAUUGUCUCAACGGCAGAAAUAUAAAAGAUUUUCAAACUUCAAAAAAAAAA